AAUAAGUACAGUUUUAUAUUAUUCUUGUCUAACGUUCGACCGUUCGUUUUUUAAAAUUUUUUUAUGAUUACUAUUUUUAUUGUUAUUAGAUGAUAAAACAUGAACAAUAAUUCAUAAUUCAUGUGUGACUAAUUCUUUUUUAUUUUUUUUAAAAUUUUCAAAUAAGAUGGACGUUCAAACGUUGGACACGGAUUUUUAUGGCUGGGAUGAAG
rnacentral:pre_miRNA from 1 species